AUUGAACGCUGGCGGCAUGCCUAACACAUGCAAGUCGAACGGAAACAGGCCGCUUGCUCCUGGAUUCAGCGGCGGACGGGUGUGUAAUGCCUGGGAGUCUCCCUGGGAGGGGGGUAUAACGUCCGGAGAUGGGCGCUAAUACCACAUAAGUUCUGAGGGAGAACGGGGGGGAUCGUCGGACCGUUUGCUCUCAGGUGAGUCGAGGUCGGAUUAGCUAGUUGGUGGGGUAAAGGGCUACCAAGCCGACGAUCCGUAACUGGUCUGAGAGGAUGAGCAGCCACACUGGAACUGAGACACGGCCCAGACUCCUACGGGAGGCAGCAGUGGGGAAUAUUGGACAAUGGGCGAAAGCCUGAUCCAGCAAUGCCGCGUGUGGGAAGAAGGCCUUCGGAUUGUAAAGCGCUUUUAGUUGGGACGAAGAGCAGUUGGCUAAUACCUUGCGGUGUUGACGGUACCGACAGAAUAAGCACCGGCUAACUACGUG
rnacentral:rRNA from 1 species